AUUGAACGCUGGCGGCAGGCCUAACACAUGCAAGUCGAGCGGAUGACGGGAGCUUGCUCCUUGAUUCAGCGGCGGACGGGUGAGUAAUGCCUAGGAAUCUGCCUGGUAGUGGGGGACAACGUUUCGAAAGGAACGCUAAUACCGCAUACGUCCUACGGGAGAAAGCAGGGGACCUUCGGGCCUUGCGCUCUCAGAUGAGCCUAGGUCGGAUUAGCUAGUGGGUGGGGUAAUGGCUCACCAAGGCGACGAUCCGUAACUGGUCUGAGAGGAUGAUCAGUCACACUGGAACUGAGACACGGUCCAGACUCCUACGGGAGGCAGCAGUGGGGAAUAUUGGACAAUGGGCGAAAGCCUGAUCCAGCCAUGCCGCGUGUGUGAAGAAGGUCUUCGGAUUGUAAAGCACUUUAAGUUGGGAGGAAGGGCAGUAAGUUAAUACCUUGCUGUUUUGACGUUACCGACAGAAUAAGCACCGGCUAACUCUGUGCCAGCCGCCGCCGUAA
rnacentral:rRNA from 1 species